rnacentral:sRNA from 1 species
UUGAUUUUAUUUGUAUAGUAUCAGUAAUCUGUUUAUUUCCUGCACUUUGUGAAAUUGUUUGCUGUUUUGUGAACUAUUUAAUAGCCCAUGAUGUUGUGACUAAACGUUUUGACCACUGCACGUUAUUUGCAAUACUGUCUACUUUACUAGAUAAGCUAUUUUUAGCUGCUUAGUCCUUUUUAAUAACUAUUAAUAAUUUGUAAAGUUAGUAGUAAUUUGUAAAGUGGGCGUUAUGCUCUAAAAGAGCGGGCCGCGCCAUUUUAAAUGAUGCACUGAGAGAGCAAGAGCGCGCGCAAUGAUCCGUUCAAAUAGAUGUAAAGUUAACACAUAGCUGUAGGUCUACAUUUUUAAAAAAGAAAACGAAACCUAUUUAUCCGCAUUACAAAUACAGUAACGUUAGUUAUCGCUGAACUUUAGUGGCGCUUGUUGUGACGAAAAUAUGCGUGUUUUUUUUUUAAGAUUUACUUUUAUGAGAUCACCUGCAGGAAGCAGGUGAGGAGAUCAGCUGUGAUUCGGUCCGGCGUCAGCGAGCGGCUCAUGACCAGACCAGUCGUUUUUUUCUCCAUGAUCGCCGGGGCAGCAGCAGUUUUAACCCGCCGAGGCUUUUAGAACAUUAUAAAGCAGUUUCAGCUCAAAAUGGACCCGUGAGUGUCACUACCAGUUUGUGAGCUGAUAUGCAGUGGAAAUUGACAUCCAGAAGGAAGUCAUAGAGGAAACACCAGCUGAUGCAAGUGCUGCAGAAGAAUUCAAUCGAAUAUCAGGAAGAAAUGUGAGAUCCAAGUUCUACGCUGCAUUGGACACACACUGCUCGUUUGAUUAAAAUAAAAAAAUAAAAAACAGGAGAAAAUUGCAGAAGAAAACUAGAAGAAAUUUUCAACAUGUUAAUUCAAAGGUCAUCUGGCAGCAGUUCUCCGGGGUCUUUCAGUCCUUUAGAGGGAUGAGUCUAAAGAAAUUUUCAGGAUGUGUUUUGAUGUAAUUGUAGAGUCGGACUUCAGUGCAGAAGAUGUUGGCCUGCUGACUGUCGUGUGUGAAGAUGUCUAAAGAACCUCAUUAUGGAUGCAAUGUGGGCCUUUAUACUGGAAGGAAAAGUGGAUAUGGACUUUGCCACAUGCAGUAUGUCUCUUUUUUUGCUUUGAUUUACACACUGAAUUCGGACUACCCAAAGACUUUGAGCAAUGCAUUUGAAUUUGUUCAACGUGUGUUGCUUUUGCUGGGAGGGAAGCGUAAUGUGUUUUAUUCGGCGAGUGCCUAUAUACUGCUGUGCUUUAUGUUUAAAGGUUCAGGUAUAAUGGCAUGUUUAAUUACAAAGUGUUGCUUUUUAACAUGUUGCUGUUUGCAGUGUUACAUUUAGGACUGCAGCAUUUUGGUGUUUAAAACACUUUUUUUUUUUUUUUUUUACCAAAAAAGUGUAUUGUGAUUUAUAGGGUUGUCAAAAGUAUUGAGUUUGGUACCAAUCUGUACUGAAAUAAAUAAAUAAAAAGUCCAUCCAUUUCCCACUAACAUUGCAAGAACUGAUUGGCCAUU